CGCCGCAUUUAAAUGCCGGUAUGCUGCGUGCGUGAAAGCGCUUAAGGUGGUGCCGUAGAGGUACAUUGCUACGUAGGUGGAAACGCCGUCGCACUCGGCGACAUUAGCAUUACCGAGAUCUCCGCAUUGGUACGUCGGGCAUUUACAACGUUCAAAAUCCUUUGCAACCGGACGAGGCCGUUGCUCUUCUCAGCCUCGCAGCGUGGUGGAUGUGGUAUACUUCAACCCUCCUCCUCUUUCCACGAAAGUGGUCGACCCUAUAUAUACCUUGUUUGUAACUGAUAGUGUACACAGUACCGUGAGGGAACAAUUGAAACUGGGCUGGAACUCUCCUAUGCAACUUUCUCUCUCAAGAGCACACGAUUGCAAUACAUUAAUCUAGUGGAUAUUUAUGUACAGCACUCUACCCGCGUUUUUUAAGAAUUUUUAUAUA
rnacentral:rRNA from 1 species